rnacentral:rRNA from 1 species
UAGUUCGGAUUGUAGUCUGCAACCCGACUACAUGAAGCUGGAAUCGCUAGUAAUCGCAGAUCAGAAUGCUGCGGUGAAUACGUUCCCGGGUCUUGUACACACCGCCCGUCACACCAUGGGAGUUGGGAAUGCCCGAAGUCAGUGACCCAACCGAGAGGAGGGAGCUGCCGAAGGCAGGCUCGAUAACUGGGGUGAAGUCGUAACAAGGUACC